rnacentral:lncRNA from 1 species
UUUGUCCUCCAGUGUCUGAGGACAUGGAGAACCCAUCUCCUCAUUUUCCCCCUUGUGGUUGGAUGGGAUCAUGCACCCAGUUCUCGUUGAGACCAAGAUGCUGAGAGACAAAGCAAAUCCGUGGGAUGCCGAGGGCACUUGGAUAACUUCCGCUUGGGAGAGAAGCCCAAACUCCACGUCCUGGAGACCUGAAGUGUGGCUGCCAGUGGACACCCAGCUGAGGGAUGAGUAGGUGGGCCUCAGUGGUGGCUGUGGGGUCCUUGGACACUGCUCACCACUGGCCUCCAGAAGCACUGGAGGCUUUGGGGACCUGCUAGUCCUCCAGCCCUAAAUGCGGCCCUGGAAUGAUGAAGGGAAGUUUGCCAUCUCCAUCCUCCUCAAGCUGCCUGUGCACCCCAGUAGCACCCACCCUCUCUGUGCUCCCGUCUGCACCCCAUGUCCUGGCGCCUGCUUUGUGUUGCACCGGAUGACAGGAACCAGUGCCCUGACUGUGACUUGCUUCUCCCCUCAGGGACAUACAAGCACUUUCACAGCAAGCCUACUUUUCAGCCCUUCUGCAGGCAGGGCCUCCUGCAGGGAUGCUGGAUGCAGAGGCAGGACGAGGAUGCAGGGCCUGGGUCCGGGUGCGGCUCCUCUCACACCUGGUAC